AAGGAGGAUGUCUGAGAGCAUUAUCAACAAUAAGCGAAAUCUUGAAAGGUUAAUCACUUUAUGUGGCCUCUUACUGGACAACAUUAACAGUGGAUUUUAUAUGCUUAGGGGUCAUGAUGAAGAAAACAACAUGAGACUAAAUCAAGCACAGGAGAAAAUGAUGCAAUCAAGACACACGGUAAACAUGAGAUGUAUGAGGCUGCUGCUGGUAUAACACAGCAUACUAUUUUACAGUAAACUUUUUUUAUAUGUAGAAAGAAUGCACUAAAAUAAUGAUAAAAAAGUAUAGUACAGUAAACACAUAAACCAGUAAAGUAGCCAUUUAUUAUCGUCAUCAAGUAUAAUGUACUGUACAUAAUUGAAUGUGCUAUACUUUUACACAACUAGCAGUGCUGUAGGUUUGUUUACACCAGCAUCACCACAAACACAGCAGUAAUGCUUUGCGCUAUGAUGUUAGGAUGGCUAUGACGUCACUAGGUGAUAGGAAAAUUUCAGCUCUAUUAUAAUCUUAUGGAACCACACUUGUAUAUGUGGUCCGUCAUUGACCAAAACAUCAUUUUACAGUGCAUGAUUGUACUAGUUUUUAGAUUCUUUGCAACUAAUAUUUGUUUUAUUGUUUAACCAUCUGUAUUAGUUUCCUAGACCUGCUCUAACAAAAUAGCACAAAUUUGGUGGCAGCAAAAAUUUAUUCUUUCACCGUUUUGGAGGUCAGAAGUCCCAAAUUAAAGUGUUGGCAGGAUUGAUUCCUUCUGGAGGCUCGGAAGUAGAAUGUAUUCCCCACCUUCCGGCAGCUUCUGGCAAUCCUUGAUAUCUCUUGGCUUGUAGACUCAUCACGCCCAGCUCUGCUCCAUGUUCAAGUCAGCUUUCUCUCUGUGUGUUUGUGUCUCAACUCUCCCUCUCCUUUUCCUUAUAAGGACACCGGUCACUGGAUUUAGGGCCCGCUCUAAAUCCAGGAUGUCAUUUUGAGACCUUUAACUUCAUCAAAUCUGCGAAGACUCUAUUUCCAAAUAAGGUCACAUUCACAGAUACCAGGGUUAGGAGCCGGACAUAUCUUUUGGGGAGAUACAAUUCAACUCACUACAUCAUCUAUGGCUUUUAAAAAUUUCUGCAUUAUAUGAGAAAGCACAUGUUAGAUUUUAUAUAUGUUAAGGAUAUGAUUACAGAAGCAAAGUGAGAAGUUGAUACAAUUGUCUAGAAAAUUCCAGAAAAAUGCUCAAUUUUGAUUCAUGUGGCUGAAUAUUUUAGGCCAAACAUAAUUUGAAAAUCUGCAUGAUGCUCUUGGAAGAUUCUUUUAGUCUUAAGAGAUAUGGAGUUGAGAAAAAGAUAACAUAAUAACUAGGAGUAGGGUACACAUCAUUAGAGAACAGAAAGACAAGGCUUUUCAGGCUCAAAAACAUUCUGAAAUUCUGGUGAUAUGUGAAAAUGACUUGCAAUGCUGCAAAAUUACAUGACCAUGGAUGUACUUUUUAUUUGUUACAGUCUAGAAUUUGUGCUUUUAUCUGUAAUUCAAAUAUUAAUGGCAGUUAGUUGGUUAACAUUUAUUGAACUCUAGAUCUUCAAUUAUGAGAGGAUCAAUAGAA
ensembl:lncRNA